rnacentral:rRNA from 1 species
UGGCGAACGGGUGAGUAACACGUGAGUAACCUGCCCUUGACUCUGGGAUAAGCCUGGGAAACCGGGUCUAAUACUGGAUACGACCUUCCCGCGCAUGCGGUGUUGGUGGAAAGCUUUUGUGGUUUUGGAUGGACUCGCGGCCUAUCAGCUUGUUGGUGGGGUAAUGGCCUACCAAGGCGACGACGGGUAGCCGGCCUGAGAGGGUGACCGGCCACACUGGGACUGAGACACGGCCCAGACUCCUACGGGAGGCAGCAGUGGGGAAUAUUGCACAAUGGGCGCAAGCCUGAUGCAGCGACGCCGCGUGAGGGAUGAAGGCCUUCGGGUUGUAAACCUCUUUCAGUAGGGAAGAAGCUGAUUCCUUUUGGGGUUGGUGACGGUACCUGCAGAAGAAGCGCCGGCUAACUACGUGCCAGCAGCCGCGGUAAUACGUAGGGCGCAAGCGUUAUCCGGAAUUAUUGGGCGUAAAGAGCUCGUAGGCGGUUUGUCGCGUCUGCCGUGAAAGUCCGGGGCUUAACUCCGGAUCUGCGGUGGGUACGGGCAGACUAG